GCGAGAAAACUUUGCAAUGUGCGAAAGCACGACAAGGUUAAUCCGAGUGAUUUCUGCUAAAGAAAUCUUUUGCCAGUUCUAAAAAUACUGGUGAAUAAGGGGUGGGCAAGUUCUGGUGUCAGCCGCCGCGGUAAAACCAGCACCUCAAGUUGUCAGGAGGAUUAUUGGGCCUAAAGCAUCCGUAGCCGGCUCUGUUAGUUUUCGGUUAAAUCCAUAUGCUCAACAUAUGGGCUGUCGGAAAUACUGCAGAGCUAGGGAAUGGGAGAGGUAGACGGUACUCGGUAGGAAGGGGUAAAAUCCUUUGAUCUAUCGAUGACCACCUGUGGCGAAGGCGGUCUACCAGAACAUGUUCGACGGUGAGGGAUGAAAGCUGGGGGAGCAAACAGG
rnacentral:rRNA from 1 species